rnacentral:miRNA from 1 species
UCACCUGGGAUCUUAAAGUGCAGAUUCUGGUUCAGGAGCCUGCGAUUCUGCAUUUCUAACAAGCUUCCAGGUGCUGC